rfam:Brassica napus, WGS project CCCW01000000 data, contig: 20268
GGAAUACAAGAACCCGUCUUUUAACUUUUAACUAAAAAAGUUAAGAACCGACUCUUAAAUAAGAUAUUUAAGAGCCGAUUCUUAGGUUUUUUAACUAAAAAUUAAGAGUCAUGUUCUUAUAUUCC